GCCGGGCGUGGUGGCGGGCGCCUGUAGUCCCAGCUACUCGGGAGGCUGAGGCAGAAGAAUUGCUUGAACCUGGGAGGCCGAGGUUGCAGUGAGCCAAGAUUGCACCAUUGCACUCCAGCCUGGGUGACAGAGCAAGACUCCGUCUUUA
rnacentral:sRNA from 1 species